rnacentral:lncRNA from 1 species
CCAGGAGCCUGCACCGAAUGUCUGGAGGUCCCUUGGCAGGGUCUCAGGUGACUUUUGAGAAGCUGGCGAAACCACACGCUCCCUCCUAGGACCCAGCAUCAACUCCAAAGCUUGCCUUCCUCUCCAGGACUCAGGACUGACACCUGCCCAGGGCAUCCAUGCACAAAAGGGCCCCUUCGCCAAGCGCCUGUCUAGCAAAUGACAGCCCAACUCAGCAAAUGCCCACACCUCCCCAAGGGUCCCCAGGACAUGGGCUGCCUGGUCCUGCUGACUGAAGGCCCCAGCACCUGCAUGACGGUGGGACUGUCUGAUUCUGGCACGUGCCCCAGGAGCAGCCCCUGCGGAUGAGGGCUGCUGGCCAGGUUGGAAUGGAAAGGAGGCCAGAGACCAGGAGACCCAACCACAACCACGCAGGAGAGGGCUGGUCAGGGCUGAGGCUGCUGCCCCUGACCUGAGAGCAACAGCACCAUGCCCCUCCAUCUGCCAUCUGCACACAGGGUCGCCUCCAGCCCACAGGGCAAGGGGGCCGGGGCUGGGUCCUGAGUGCAGGGGUGUCCUUGGCAGGGUAAGAGUCAGCCUAACUCAGACUCCACUGCCACACUUUGCAGUGAGACUGACAGGUGGAAUAAACCCACCAGGCCCCCCAG